AGCAGCCGCGGUAAUUCCAGCUCCAAUAGCGUAUAUUAAAAGUUGUUGCAGUUAAAAAGCUCGUAGUUGAACUUCGGGGUUUACCCAUUGGUCAGGCUUAAUUGUCUGUACUGGUGAGAUGAAUCUCUACCUUCUGAGGAACUUUCAUGCCAUUUAUUUGGUGUGAUGGGAAAUCAGGACUGUUACUUUGAAAAAAAUUAGAGUGUUUAAAGCAGGCUAACGUCUGAAUACAUUAGCAUGGAAUAAUGAAAUAGGACGGACUGAUUCUAUUUCGUUGGUUUCUAGGAUCACCGUAAUGAUUAAUAGGGAUAGUUGGGGGCAUUAGUAUUCAAUUGUCAGAGGUGAAAUUCUUGGAUUUAUUGAAGACUAACUACUGCGAAAAGCAUUUGCCAAGGAUGUUUUCAUUAAUCAAGAACGAAANUUAGGGGAUCGAAGACGAUCAGAUACCGUCGUAGUCUUAACCAUAAACUAUGCCGACUAGGGAUCGGACGAAGUUAAUUUUAUAAUGACGCGUUCGGCA
rnacentral:rRNA from 1 species